rnacentral:lncRNA from 1 species
GCCGCACUCGUGAGAUGAGGACGGCGGCUCGGCCGCACGGCUGGAGCGAGAGCGGGAAGGGAGCGGCGCGGAGCGGCUGCAUCCCCGGCCCCGUCGCCCCCAGCGCCACUGAUCCCCCGGACCGGGCUUCCGCGCCGGGACUGGCCGGGGAUGCGCGAGUGUGAAUGCAACCAGUCCUCUCUGAACCCCUAGGAACCAACCCCUGCAGUCUUGGUAUGGAAAGGCCGAGCUGUCUGUGGGUGCUGAAACAAUCUCUGUGUGUGUUAAAAGCCCACAAAUUAAGGGCUAAGGUCAUGACACCACUCCUCCAGUGUCAUGCAAGCAGUAGCAAAAGAGACGGCUGCUUUGUGUUCAAGCCAAGGGAGUGAGCAGAUGCAGAUAGUUCCCUACAGGAGACUUGGUAUGGGUGGCAACAGAGAAGGGGAGCAAUGAGAAAGAGCUUGGCAGUUCAUCCACACGCUGGGUGUUUCUGAGCUGCCGAAGAGACAGAACUGAAGAAGCCCGUGCUGCUGAGCCACUCGGAGCCACUGCCCUAUGCACAAGGGAUAGAGAUGCCAUCACCCUGGUGGCAUCCCACUCAUGGUACAAUGGGCUUCAGGAAGAUGCCUCUGGGCUCUUGUGACAGUUUGAGUACAAGCCCCAGUCCCAUAUGAAGUUCGAUAGAAAUGCACUCGUCUUUGCGAAUCAAAACUUUGCAUGGACCUGUUUUACAAGGGUCUCCCACAUAUGUUCCAUCUACAUUUAGUAAGAACUAUUGUAUGUAAAUUAAAUGCCAGCGGAGUAAGGAAAACAUAUUUGUCGAAGAUUAACUAUUAUGUAAUGCAAGAAGCAUCUGCCACCCAACUGCUAGAGCUCACUAAAUAUUUCCUUAUCUCGGAGUAUUUACUUAGGAGGCAAUAACUAUCCAGUUAAAUCUAAAUUUAAUGCUUAGUUAAAUAUACUUCAUGGAAAGUGACACCAAUAUGUUUUAUACAGACAGUGACAGAGGAGGGUUCAGAGAGGGAGAGGGCAGUAAUACUGUCCCCACAACCCCAUAACACCCUGACUUGAGGUGGGACUGUACUUGGCCGUGCCUCCCAAUGACGUAGUUGCAUCACAGCAGAGUCAGAGACCCCUCUCUACUGAGACAGAAAUACGAGCAAAGCCUUCAUCUUCUCAGACAUUUAUGCAAUCCUCAUUAGAACCACUCUAGCAUAGCUAUUUAAUAAUAAUCAUCGUAAUAAACAGAGAAAUAAGGAUUAAAUUCCCCUGAGGGUCUUGCAAACCUUGGGAAAACACUGAAAUCUCUAAGUCUUAUUUGCUUUUAGAAACAUAUAGAAGUAAAAGGAAGAGGUUGCCUGGGUGUAAAAGUCCAAACAAGAAAGAAUCACACAGAUCCUAGGAGAAAGCCUCAUGAGCAAAAUAAAUAACGUGGGUUUUUUGGUGUGUGCUCCCGGAAGAAAUAACUCUCUAGACUCAUCUCCCCCUACUGGAAGCUGAUAAUGAAAGCAACAGGACUGCCUUCUGUCUUUCCUACCUUCUAAAAUGUUGAGCAAAAAUUCAGGUAAACAGUCAGACCAAGUGCAGCACGAAUGCACACGGCCACUUUUUGAUGCCAUUUACCAAUGCUCGGUAGGUGCAGAACUGCCAGUUCCGGCCUGAGGAGCCAGAAUUUUUCUAAUAUGCUAUAGUACAGGAAUGGAAUGGGCAGCAUGAGCCCAGUCCUAUCGGUACCACAUCACCCUCCUCCAUCUGCUUCUGAUGGAAAGGCAGCAGAAGCUAAAAGCAUGGACUUUGGACACAAG